rnacentral:rRNA from 1 species
CUUGGUCAGGACGAACGCUGGCGGCGUGCCUAAUACAUGCAAGUCGAACGGUCUUUCUAUGGAAGCUGCUUCCACUGAGAAGAUAGUGGCGAACGGGUGAGUAACACGUGGGUAACCUGCCCAUAAGAGGGGGAUAACAUCCGGAAACGGGUGCUAAUACCGCAUAGUUUUCUUGAUCGCAUGAUUGAGAAAGGAAAGAUGGCCUUUGUGCUGUCGCUUAUGGAUGGACCCGCGGCGUAUUAGUUAGUUGGUGAGGUAACGGCUCACCAAGACGAUGAUACGUAGCCGACCUGAGAGGGUGAUCGGCCACAUUGGGACUGAGACACGGCCCAAACUCCUACGGGAGGCAGCAGUAGGGAAUCUUCCGCAAUGGACGAAAGUCUGACGGAGCAACGCCGCGUGAGUGAAGAAAAGGUUUUCGGAUCGUAAAACUCUGUUGUCAGAGAAGAACAAGUUGGAGAGUAACUGCUCCAGCCUUGACGGUAUCUGACCAGAAAGCCACGGCUAACUACGUGCCAGCCGCAGC